rnacentral:rRNA from 1 species
GAUGAACGCUGGCGGCGUGCCUAAUACAUGCAAGUCGAGCGAACAGACGAGGAGCUUGCUCCUCUGACGUUAGCGGCGGACGGGUGAGUAACACGUGGAUAACCUACCUAUAAGACUGGGAUAACUUCGGGAAACCGGAGCUAAUACCGGAUAAUAUAUUGAACCGCAUGGUUCAAUAGUGAAAGACGGUUUUGCUGUCACUUAUAGAUGGAUCCGCGCCGCAUUAGCUAGUUGGUAAGGUAACGGCUUACCAAGGCAACGAUGCGUAGCCGACCUGAGAGGGUGAUCGGCCACACUGGAACUGAGAAACGGUCCAGACUCCUAAGGGAGGCAGCAGUAGGGAAUCUUCCGCAAUGGGCGAAAGCUUGACGGAGCAAAGCCGCGUGAGUGAUGAAGGUCUUCGGAUCGUAAAACUCUGUUAUUAGGGAAGAACAAAUGUGUAAGUAACUAUGCACGUCUUGACGGUACCUAAUCAGAAAGCCACGGCUAACUACGUG